GUCAGAAAGAGGAAAGUUUGCAGAGUUUUGUAUUGGCAAUCAAACAUUCAGCCACAGGUCACAGUCUAGAACCAGACACAUCAGUGUCCUGAACUGCAAAGUAGCCAGGAAGCAGCAUCCCAUAACACAGUCCUAUGUCCACUGCUUUGGAGUUACUCAAGACCUAAGUGUUUUCUUGGAACUGUGUUUGUUACUGAGGAAGCCACAAAUUAAAUAUAAGUCUGCUCUUCAAGAGGUUACAUUCCAGUUAAGGAGAUCACAUAUCCAUACUUCUAGGUAACUAAGUACCAAUGUGAUUGAAGCAAGGGAAAUUGCUAUGGGAUAUCUGGCCAACUGGAUAUUCUGCUGGAAGAGCAGAAUGCACUUCAAAGACUAGCCAAUAAAACUCUCAUGGGCUCUUGACACACUGACCUCUGUCAGUUCCUUCAGCACACCAGGCUAAUCCCCAGUCUUGUGCCUUUGGACCAGGGGUUUUCUUUGCUCAGAAUACUGUUUCAACAGAUCUUUGCAUAGCUGGCUCUUGCUAUUUGUCUAAAAUGGCAAUCCUCAGAGAGGUACUCCUUAAAUAUCCAAUCUUAAGUAGCAUCCCUUUCUCCCAGGAUCCUGUUUUUCAGAACUCUGUUUUCUUUUUAAAACACUUGUUAUCUGAAAGGAUGUUGUCUGCUUGCUUGUUUGUUCAUUUCUUUAUUGUCUAUUCCAUCUCUCCCCUUCUCAGGAUGUAAGCUGUUUAAAGGCAAGGACCUUAUCUGUGUUAUAUGCUGUAUUCCCAGGGCUCAGACAGAGCAUGACCUAUCAUAUGUACUAAAUAAAU
rnacentral:antisense_RNA from 1 species